GAGGUACGGAAUCAAGAAUAAAGUGCAUGGUGAUUGAGGAGGAGUAUGGGCAGUGGGUCGCAAAAACAAGGCAUUAUAUAUAUUGCACCAAUUAUUUUCUAAAAUCAAGAAGUUGAAAAACACUCAAAAGACUUUUCUUUCUCUGCUCCUGUAAAGAAGUAGCGCAAGUGGGAGCUUUUUGAGGUGUUAUUGCUGCUACUUAUCUGAUGUAUCAUGUUGCUCUAGCACAACAACUGACUUUGCUUGUAUGCAUAUUAUGAUUCAACCGAUUGGGAUUGGCUAAGAGGAGCUCAAGCUACUACAAAUAAAAACUACACAAUGGAAGCAACAAAAAUCGAUCAAGUAAUUACUAGGAGAAUACUACCAAUUUGAUGGUGAUUUCAUAAGGCAAGUUGGAGGGAUUCAAAUGAGUGCAUCUAUGAGGAGAAAGAUCGAUGACGGAUCUCAAGGUAAAGGUGUUUUUUGGUAUAAAAACACGCUCUGAAAACUGAAUACCAAAAACUAUUUACUUGGAAUAUGUUAAAUGUUCUAGCAUGAGACGUGGUAAGUAUUUUCAGUUAAGGUUUGAACGUUUAGCGUUUAAGGUUUAAACCUCAAUUCAAAAUACUUACCACGACUCGAGCUGGACAUUAAAACUAUUCCAAGUAAGUAAUUUUUGGUAUUCACCUUUCAGAGCUUGUUUUUAUACCAGAAAACACCUUUGUCUUGAGACCCUUUAUCGAUCUUUCUCCACAUAGAUGCACUCGUUUGUAUCUCUCCUACUUGCCUUAUGAAUAGGUCACCAUCAAAUUGGUAGUAUUCUCCUAGUAAUGGCUUGAUCGAUUUUUUGUUGCCUCCAUUGCGUAGUUCACAAAAAUGAGUUCGCAACUUUCACCUUCAACUUAUUUACGACUUUGUAUUCUUUCAGAUAUUUCGCUAUAGAAAGUACAAUCAUUUAAUUCCAGCAAAACAUUCUUAAUUAA